ensembl:lncRNA
CGCGGGUCUCUCCCGCCGCUGCCCGGUCGCCCCCGCAGCGGCCGCCCCCUCCCCGGAGCUGUCCCGGCGCUCUGGGAUGCCAUCCUGCUUUCCCACGGAUGCGAUCGGCCCCGAUCCCUUCGUCCCCGCGCUCGGAGGGGGAUGAGCGAUGAGCAUCGCUGCGGUUCCCCCGACGGCAACGCCAAGGGAGGAAUUCGCUUCCACUCUGUUCUUGAAGUGUAGUUUUGCCGCCCGUCUCCCAACAACCGGGGCUGAGAUCGCCGUUCAUUAACUUUGGAUAAGAAAUUGCCCGAAAUUAAACAAACAAACAAACAAACCCCACCGGCUUCUUCGCUCGUACCGCGGGCGGAACGGGCUGGAGGGCGCGGGGCGAGAUUUAGUGAAUAAAAGUUAUUUUCUCCUUAGUGCUCCGGGGCAGCCUGAACGGAAAGCGCAUCCUUUUGCAGAGAAAAAGUUCUCAGUGUUCACAACGAUCCCGACACCCGGCAUCUACAGGGGCCAGCUCCGGCAAAUCUUCUGGUCCGGGGCAAAGCACACGUGUAACAACAAAAAUACGGUCAAUGGUGCGGGACGAUUUAGAGACUUUGUCUAAAUCCCAGAGCAGGGUCGCGCUGGAAAAUGCCGGUUUGAAGUCUGGCUGGACAACAGGCAUCCAAACCAAGCAGUUUACGGGGAAAUCACAGCUAGAAAGUACAUUUAAAAAACAAGAAACAGAGAGCUCUGGGAGACGUUUGCCUUGCAGAAACGCACCGGGGAUCUGGCAAGAGAUGACGAAACGCAAAAUUGAAAUCAGUUUCAAGAGCAAUCAGUGAAACUGGGAAUGAGUUCUUCAUCCUCAGAGGCAAGAUGGAAAAAUUAUCUUUUCUCUUGAAGUACUCCAGUGUCUAUACCCUCAAGAACAAUAAGGAAUCGACUAAGAGCAGCUCAAAUUAAAUUAAAGAUCUAGUAUCCUUCCCUUCCUUAGAGCCAAGCAUUUUUCUCCCUAUUCCUCCCUAUUAAUGUGCUAUAAUAACAUCUCUUUUUUUCCACUCAACGCCUGAUUUUUCCUGAAAAUGGCUAACAGAGAAUAUCUGAUGGUGUGCGAUAUAUGUUUCACUGCUGCGAAUUUGGGAGAGGUGUUCUGUGUACAUGUACACAGGUUAAAGUAAUUUUUAUCCCUUACCUAAGGAGAAUGAUGUAUAUUUCUGCCUCUCUGUAUCUAGUAAUCUACUGGACUGAAGUUCUGGCAAUCUAAUUUUGCCAUCUCUCCUUAUGAUAAGAUCAGAGAUUUUCAAACAUUUUCUUGAUUUUUCAGACUCAGAUGUUUCCUGGGGAUCCCACUGUGCUCAGGCUACCAACAACAGGCUUGGUUUGGUUUUGAGUUCACAGUCUCUGUUAAACUCUGCAGGCUGAAAACUGAGGGUUUACGUUCUGGAUUAUUUAUAUUAAUAUUUUCUCAGUGCAAUUCUCUGCUGCUGAGUGUCAUGGAGCCACAAAGCAAGGAAUAAACCAUAGCUCAUCACAAGCUGUAGAUGCUGCAGCACUUGGAGCUGCUGGGAGCAAAUCCUGGUUGAAAGCAGCAGUGCCUGCUCUGUGUCCACUCCUCGCUGGUUUUUCUGGCUGCUGUGCUCUCACAAAUGUUUCUGUGGCUGACUGGGGGCACUAAUCCGGUUUGAGAAGGACACCCUCUUCCCAAUCCUUUUCUUUCCCCCUUUUCCUUAUCCCCUCAGGUUAGUUUUAGCCUGGGCCUGCCUAGCCCCUUCCUGAGUGAGAGCUUGUUAGGGACUGAUUAGCCCAAGUUUUGAUAAAAGCCUCAUUGUUUGUAACCCCUGUAAACUACCCGGAGCUGUGCUCCCAAUAAAAGUGGGAUUAAAUAGACACCUCCGGAGUGAGACACUUGCAAGUGGGAAUUUCAGAGUUUUGAGGGACUGAGGGAUGUGUAACUCUGUGUAUCAGAAGUGAUUUUACCAAAAGUGGGAAAGAAGCCCGACUUUUGUGUUUUGGGGGGAAAAGGAACCUGGUGGGGAGGCAGAAGGAAAUCACCUGUUUGUGGCUGGGUCAAGCACACGCUCCCGGAGUCUGGAAACAUGUUUGCACCCUGCAUUCCUCCAGCCUCUCCUCAGGCUUAAGAUUCAUAAAAAGUAUUUUAAAAUCCUCAGUCUGAUCACAUGAAUUUAAUACUUCCUCGUUUUAUUUUUGCAACAGUAAAAAAGUCGACUUGGCGCUAUUGGGUUGUGUCUUUUCUGGGAGGAAUGUUAAGCAAGGGGCUUCUUCCCUCCUGCCUAGAGCAAGAAAUUGACCUGGGCUGAAAUAAAGCAUCUCUGUGCUUUUUAAUUUUUUUUUUUUUUUUUUUUUUUUUUUUUUUUUUUUUUUUUUUGUGUGUGUGUGUGUGUAAUAGGAUAUUUGAAAUAGAGCUUGGCAUUCUGGGCUGGUUAUUGUGUAGUGAUCUCUCCUACAGGGUAAGGUAAAGGCCAAAAUCUUUUGCUCCUAAUUCAUCUGAAUAAGCCACCUCCACUCUGGAAUGAGUAAUAGAAAAAGAAAAACAUAAAUUUAUGGUCAGCUAAGGUAAAAAUAAUCAAAACUAUUAGUAGAUAAAGGCAGUGGCUGCCAUCACCACCGCCACAAGGAAAUGGAGGAGUAGUAAAUUAGUAUUUCUUUUCCAUGCUUGUCUGGGGCAGAAAAAAUCAGAUAGUGUGUUAGUUUCAGGUGCUGAUGAAAGAGCAUUUUGGGCUCCAUUAAUAACUAGGGAUUAUGUUAAAUAGCAGCCACAUAAAUGAAAUAUUUUGUGAUCAGCCAGUCCCAGUAAUUCACAGCCAAGAGUUUCAGAACUCUGUGAACCAUUAACAUAUUGUGGGGGCUGUUGAUGCUGGCUUUUCAUUUUGGGACACUGGGAGGGUUUUAGAGCACUUAGAAAGAUGAUAUUGGCUCAUUAUUUAAAAUCUUUGGGCUAAUGAUUUAGUGAUGCUCAGACUUUCAACCCUUCACUGUUAAAGGCAAGAAAUGUAUGGGUGCAUCUCUUAAUUAAUGAUUAAUUUCCUUCUUAAAAGAAGGAAAUGAAACUGAUGCCAACGAGUGUGUGUAGAUAGAAAAUAGACCUUGUCAAAUUAAUUUGCUGUUAGCAAGUGGGAGAAACUCUUGAUGUAACUGAUUUAUGAAAGUGUUUGAUUAGUUCUGUCCUGGAGGUGGG